rnacentral:antisense_RNA from 1 species
AGCCGCCGCCGCCCGGGCGCAACUCAUUGCCGGGACAAAAAAUGCAACCACUUUGUUGAACGGAACUGGCCAAUAGUGCCCUUGACUCGGACUGAUGACGCAAGCAGACGAAAAAGCAAAGAGGAACUUUACAAACUGUUACAGUUUUCCGUCAUCACUUGACGGCUGACAAGAAGCCUCUUUGAAUUCCAGUAUACAUGAUCACAUUUUAAAACCUUCAAGACGCCGUUUAAUCAGGAGUUGUAAGGCAUAUUUGUUAGGGAGAGCUGCACUUUAAAAAUUAUACAGACAUCACCUGAAGUUAUUAAAGUUAUCAAAACAUAUAAAAACCUUCAAGUAAGAGGCUACUCCCCAGGAAACGUGUGGAGCCAGUGAAA